rnacentral:rRNA from 1 species
CUACGGGGCGCACCAGUGAGGAAUAUUGCACAAUGGGGGGAACCCUGAUACAGCAACACCGCGUGGAGGAUGACGCAUUUCGGUGUGUAAACUCCUUUUAUAUGUCAAGAAAAUGACGGUAGCAUAUGAAUAAGCACCGGCUAACUCCGUGCCAGCAGCCGCGGUAAUACGGAGGGUGCAAGCGUUACUCGGAAUCACUGGGCGUAAAGGACGCGUAGGCGGGCUUGUAAGUCAGGUGUGAAAUCCUACAGCUUAACUGUAGAACUGCACUUGAAACUGGUAACCUAGAGUAUGGGAGGGGGAGAUGGAAUUAGUGGUGUAGGGGUAAAAUCCGUAGAUAUCACUAGGAAUACCUAAAGCGAAGGCGAUCUCCUGGAACAUAACUGACGCUAAGGCGUGAAAGCGUGGGGAGCAAACAGGAUUAGAUACCCCAGUAGUC